UAUACCAGCUUUGUGGCACUACUGCUACCGUUUUGGCCGAAUUAUCCGAGGGACGAAAGGGUGGACAAGGCUGUCAGAAGCGCCGAACAACCUGGACCAGACUGGCAGACACGUGACGUCAGAGUAAUUGGAUCAUGCGAUAAUUACUUGGUGGAAAUAUAUGUCUUGCGACACAUCAGAUCUCCAGUCAGAAGAGGAGGCAAUUCCUAAAAAGAGGAAGGCAAUGCCGGUGACAGCGAACACGCCAGGGGGACACGCCCACCUGGCGAGGGGCAUGGUGUGGUUCAGACGCCAUUGCCUGCUGUGCUGUUCCAGUUCAAAUCCUAGGCAUGCUGGAGACAAUUACAGAGGUGAGAGACCCGGUUCCGUUUCCGUGUACCACAAUGGAGGAAGUGGACCUUUUUGAGCAACGGCUCAAAGAUCCCGUCAACAUUCUAAUGAGUGGUGAGUUUUUUUGUUUUAAGAAUCUCACGCAAAGCUGAUUAAAAUCUAUUGUAUGUAAUUAACACUAGACAAUACCAUGUUUGAUGGAAAUGUUUUUUCAAACAUUCUGUAAAGUAUCAAAUAUUAAUCGUACUUUUUCGAUCCAUUUUCGAUUUCCUCCCUGGCAACGAUCGGACGACAUGAUGCCAAACGUGGAACAUCCCCGAAUGAAUGGAAAAAAAUUAUUCAGUCAAAUGACAUCUAAGACUUUGCUCCUGCAUGCCGUCAGAAAGAAUCAUGCCACACAUGCAUCCACUGAUGAACAGAUUCUAAAGCAUGCCAUUAGGUGGUUCAACCUGGCAGCAAACCGGGGUAGCUCCAGGAGGCGUGCUACUGUCGACAUCCCCCACACUGAACAGAAUUAAAAAUAUAUAUUUAUAUUUUAAUAUAAUAUAUAUUUAUAUAUAUAUACACAUACACCAGUUCUCAGUUGGAAGUUCCACCAUUCACUUGAGGCCACUGCGACCUAUUCUCUGGGAGAAUUGUGGUAUUUGGGUUAGGUGGUCGGUAUUUAUGGUUGUAUUAGUUGUAGCUCUUGUGUUCUAAUGUGAGCUAUAGUUUUUACUCUAUAUGUAUGUGUGUAUAUAUUGUCUCGAACUAAUUAUAAAUAAAUAUGAUUCAUACAUGUACAAGAAAUAAUUUGAUGUCCUUUUAAUAAACUGUUUUUGAUAUUA